CUCGAAGGAGGGAGGAGGUUCCAGGCUCCACAGAUAAGGGUUUGGAAACAGGUGCUAUUUUCUCACUUUGCUCAAGGCUGAAGAUUACCGAGCCAGACGGGACCGUGUCUCAUCAGUUCACGUUCAUUUAUAAUAUGCUGGGUAAUGGGGGUCGACGUACAGUCCACCAGCUCGCGGGGGUCAUCGGCUCCAGGGUGGGGAGUGUGCAGGCACGCCUGGAGUUUCUGCUGAGGGGACCCAUGUGAAACCACCUGGCUCUCAACCCCAGACCAGCUCUAGACCUGGUGGAAGGGUCUGCUGAGAAGAGCUUCUCUGUCUGAGAACGCUGACGGGUGAGCCGACACAGGGGGCCGGUGGUGAGGUGGUGAAGAUCCAAGGGUUACCAAGAGAGGAGGCGGCACAGUGAUCUUAAUGACUUUAGAGCUGGAGGCAAGAGAAGUCAUGAAUCUGGAGACAUUUCACAGAAGCAGACUCGGUCUCCUGUCACCCAGACCUUCUGGGGCUUGAUGAUCCAUUCCUGGGGACCUCUGCAGCCUUCUUCAGAUUCCCAGCAGCAAAGAAAUACCUUAGGCCAGUGGUUGUCACACUGCAGCGCGCAUGAGAAUCCCCUGGAACAGAGCACGGAGCCCCGCUGCACAGUUUCUGAUUCAACACAGCUCUGGAGUCGUCCUCACUUUCUACACUGCAAUCAGUCAACAGCGUGAUGGUCUCCAUAUUGCCAAGUCAAGUGGAUACAUUCCGGGCCUCUCUUCCUUAGCUUCUCUUCAGUAUUUGGAACUGCUGACAUUUCCACCACUCUGUGUGUUUUGAUAACACCACUCUCCCAAGUUUAUCUCCUACUUCUUGGCUGCCUUUCUCUUAGUGCCCUUUCUAGGGGUCUACUUUAGUCCUUUCCUCGUGUCCUGAGGGUUGGGGCUUCCCUGUGCUUCCAUUCGAGACCCUCUGCUCCUCUUAUUCUAGAAACACCUUCCAGGUGACUUCUUUCAACCUAUAGCUUCAACUACAAUUAUACCAAGGUUCUCCAAAUAUUUUUGUUCAUGCUAUUAUUUUAAGUAUUCAGCAUAGACCCCUCUGUGUGUAUAGCUAUUUAUUUAUAGGUGACAUGCAUGAAUUCUUGUACUUAUUUACUCUGUAUGUUAUAAAACAUUUAUAAUAGAAGUGUGGGAAACGGAUACAAAUAAAUCUAAAUAGAAGCUCUAAUCAUUUCUUCUCCCAUCGAAAGGAUUAUCUUGCUAUACAUCCUUCUCACAGACUACUAGUUGGCAUACACAAUUGCCUACCAGAUACUUGUUAUCAUAGAGAUACGCCAAAUUUAAAUGCAGCAUGCACAAAACUAAACUCAUCAUCUUUCUUCCCAAAACUCUGUCCUUCAGGAGAGUACCAGAUGAUGCUGGAAAAUAAUAUGUCAGAAAGCAGAGAAGUACUCAAAGGCUACGGGAGAUAUGCCAAAAGGACACAAUAAUUGGCUUAAAGGGGCUCCCACUAGGCAGAUUUGGGAUGACUAGAACAUCAAAUAUAUAUCUGUAUCUAUAUAUCUAUA